ACCAUUGCAUCCAGGUAAUGCAAUAUAUAGAGAUAAACUCUAUAUUUAGGAAAAAUAACAUUUGACCUUAACAAUGAUUAAACACUGUUCUUUCUUACAGCUAUAUGAAAGGUCAAGACAAGAAAUAGAAAUGUUAACAUAUUCACGAUAACUUAAGAGCUAUGUUCCACCCACCGUUUCCCCAUAUAUGAAAGGCACUAGUUAGUCAUCUAUAGUUAUAUGUGUGUUUUGAAUGGUUUUGUCUAAGUUAUGUGCUAUAUAAUGCAGUUUUAGCAGGCAUACACAAUAAAUGGUCUCAUAAAUAUCAUACCCACGACAUGCUAGCAGUUCUGCUAGCAGUUCUUAAAUGCCACUAAAUUCCUUGUUAUUAGUCUCAUUGUUGUGCCACUUUCUGUUAAUCCUCCAGAAUGUACAGGAAAAAGGACAGCUAAUAAAAGGAAAAAAUUGUAAUUAAAAACAUAAUAUAUUGGCCUAAUCUGAUAGUUAAAUCAAAAAGGUUACUGUGCACUGUCUAAAAUCUUCAUGUACAUAUAAAUACCACUCAAAUGACCAAUAACCCCUUAGUGACCAGACCGUUUUUCAAUUUUCUUACUGUUAAGGAUCAGGACUCUUUUUACAUAUCUGCGGUGUUUGUGUUUAGCUGUAAUUGUCCUCUUACUCAUUUACUGUACCAACACAUGUUAUAUACGGUUUUUCUUGCCAUUAAAUUGUCUUUCUAAAGAUACCAUUAUCUUCAUCAUUUUGUCCUGAGUUUAAAAAUGCCCAGUGUUAACAUGUUCUUACCUUUUUUUUGGAAAGUUAUAGGGCUAUAAGGGCUACAAGCACUUUGCUAUUUCUUUGCUAUUUCCAAACCAUUUUUUUUCAAAAUUAGUAACACUGAUAUCUGUCAGGAAUCCCUGAAUAACCCUUCACAUGUAUAUAUACUUUUUUAAAAGAAGACAUCCUAAGGUAUUACACUUUGAAUCUUUUCACCACCAAUCUGUUCCAAAGAACACCCCAAUAUGUGUGUCAUUUUUGUCAAAAUGUGUCAUUUUCUUGUGUUAUUUUCACACACAUUAUACUUUAGGCAUGGGUUCUCAGCUCCUUUUAUGUAUUACUGCCAAAGAACACCCCAAUAUGUGUUCAGCAACAUCUCCUGAGUACAGUGAUACCCCCCAUGUAUAACGUGUCAGGUUCUCUGGGGGCUAAAAUACCUUAUUUGGAGGGUGUGCAUUCCAGUUUUCCAACUUGGAAUUUUCACAGCUGGUCAUCAUGCACCCAUGUCCUAUUUGUGACAUUUUUGAAGCAGGCCAAUGUAAUUUAUCCCCAUUAAACCAUAUAUUUUUGAAAAGUAGACACCCUAGGGUAUUUCAAAUGGUGGCAUUUUAACACUUUCCAUGCACUAAUUCUACCACCAGUCUUUGUCAAACUUUUGGGUAGUCAUUUUUUUGUGUUAUUUUUCUAUCACAUUGUACUUUAGGCAUGGAUUCUCAGCUCCUGUAAUAUGUUACUGACAAAGAACACCACAAUAUGUGUUCAGUAACAUAUCCUGAGUACAGUGCUACCACACAUGUACAGGGGUGUUGGGUUCUCUGGAGGCUAAAAGACCAUAUUUGGAGGGUGCACAUUCCAGUUUUCCAACAUGGAAUUUUCACAGCUGGUCAUCAUGCCCCCAUGUCCUAUUUGGGACAGUUUUUUAAGCCGGACAAUGUAAUUUACCCCCAUCACACCAUAUAUUUUUGAGAAGUAGACACCCUAGGGUAUUUCAAAUGGUGGUAUUUCAACACUUGCCAUGCACUAAUUCUACCACCAGUCUUUGUAAAACUUGAGUAGUCAUUUUUUUGUGUUAUUUUUCUCUCAUAUUGUACUUUAGUCAUAGAUUUUCAGUUCCUGUUAUGUGUUACUGACAAAGAACACCCCAAAAUGUGUUCAGCACUAUCUUUCAAGUACAACAGUGCCUCCAAUGUACAGGUUUUAUGGGUUUUUGCAAACUUACAGGGGUCAAAUGUAGGGCUUUCCCCUUUUACAUGUUUGCACAUUAAAAUUUGCUAGAUUGGUUUGCUGGGCCUAUGUUGCCUUUGAGACCAUAUGGCAGCCCAGGAAUGAAAAUGAACCCCAUCAUGGCUUACUAUUUGUAAAAGUAGACAACCUACAGUAUUCAUAAUAGGGUAUGUCCAGUUUUGUAGUAGCUUGUCAAAGUUAGCCUUCAUAUUUGUUUUUUUGCAUUUUUUAACACAAAAAAAUUCACUUUUACUGGUGAUUUCAUCGUCGUGAUAGGUUUUACUGUUGUAAACACUCAUAUUUGUGUUCAGCGAAGUCUCCCGAGUAUAACAAUACCCCGCAUGUGCAGGUUUUAUGGUGUUUUGGAAAGUUACAGGGUCAAUACAGAGCUUGCCAAAUUCAGUUUGCCAGAUUGGUUUGCUGGGUCUGUGUUGCCUUUUGAGACCAUAUGGUCAGGGGCGGGCUGGGACAGGGGGCAGGACGGCAAUUGCCCCCCAGGCUGCUCUAAAUCCAGGGCCGCCCACAUCCAGCAAAAAAAGGAAAAAUCUGAAUCCCCUGCCUCUGGGUCUGGCUCUGCCUCUUGCUGGGGACUCGGAUUUUCCAACUUCUUCUUCUUAUUGCCAUUUAUAUAGCGCCAACAGAUUCUGUAGCACUUUACCUCUCUUCCUGCAGCCAGUGGAGUCGGCCGGCCUCUCCUAAUGAUGUCACACACACACACACUUUUAUUUCCUAUAUAUGUUUAAUAUAUUAUAAUUAAAGCAUUUUAUAAUAUAUUAUACAUAUAUAAUGCAUAUAUAAGAACACUUAUAUUGAAAUUAUAUAUAUAUAUAUAUAUAUGCAUUAUAUAUGUAUAAUAUAUUAUAAAAUGUUUUAUUUAUUUUAUAAUAUAUUAUACAUAUAUAUAUAUAUAUAUAUAUGUAUAUAUAUAUAUAUAAUAUAUAUAUUUUUUUACUUUUUUUUUACUUUUUAGCAGCCUGGGGGACAGUUCAGACUCCUAUUGCGGCGAUGUGGUCACGGUGAUCACAUCACUCUGGAGGACCGAGGUGGCUGGAGCUUCUGCAGGGGGACUGCUGGGGUCUCCGGCAGUCCCCCCGGCUGGGAUACACUAUAUGAUCAAGGCCUGAGUACAGUAAGUGACUAAUACACUCCAGUACAUACUGCCAGAUCAACAAUGCAUAUAUUAUGUCAUAAAGUAAAUGAUUAAGGCACAAUAUAUUGUAAAAAUACGGGUCUCAAUAAAAAUCAUAGGAAUAUCCCCAGAGAAUAUUUUUCAUUAAGUCCUUUGGGUAUACAGUGUCAAGGGUUCUUAUCCAGUAAAGGUCUUUCUGUAGUAGAAGAUUUUUGCGGUCACCGCCGCGUAUUGGUAAGGGUAUGUGGUCGAUUGCCAAAACUUUCAUGGAUGGUAAUGGAUGAUUGCAUUCAAGAAAAUGUUUUGCCACUGGUAAGUCAGAGCCACCCGGAUGCUGGAGCGAUGGUUACGGAUCCUUUCUCGUAAUGGGAGGUCUGUCUUCCCUAUGUAAGCCAGUCCGCAGGGGCACAUCAAUUUGUAAAUAACAAAAUCGCUCAUGCAUGUCAAGCGAUGUUGAAUAGCAAAUUUUUUCCCUGUGGGGGGAUGUGUGAAUGACUUACUCGGUAUCAUGUGGCUGCAGGUCACGCAGCCCAGGCAUCUGUAACAUCCAGUGUUGAGGUGUUGUGAUUGUGGGUUGUAGCCGUGGAUGGGGUCUGUUUUCACCAACAGGUCUCUUAGAUUGCUGCCUCUGCGAUAACACAUCAUAGGUGUUUCCUUGAAUGCUUUGGGUAGAGAGUCAUCGUUUCUCAUAAUUCUCCAGUUGCGGUCUAGUGAUUUCUUAAUGUGAUGUGACAUGGUGGUGUACGUGGAUGGGAAGACUAGUCUCUCUUCUUUUGGAAGUUCUGUUGUGGACGUUACAUAACACUUGUCAAGAGCUGCUUGUAGAAUCUUGUUGCUAUAGCCCCUUGCUUUGAACUUAUCCCACAUUUGUUGUAGCUGGAUGUGGGUAUUAUUGAUGUUGGAAUUGUUCCGUAUCCACGUACAGCAGCUGAAACCAGACCAGGGGUUAAUUGUGAGUACAGCCUGUAUACAGUUUAUUGAUUAUGUUAAUGCACUUGUGGGUUAUUUAAACACUGUUGUUUGUAUUGCACUGUAGGCUGACGAAAGUUCCUUAGAGAACUGAAACGUUGAUCUUCUG
rnacentral:lncRNA from 1 species